AGAGGACACGGACAGGAUGGCGGCAGUGUCUGGGCUCAUGAGGAGACCCCUUCAGCAGGUUUCCGGGCUGCUGAAGAGGCGCUUUCAUAGAAACGCACGGGCAGCGCUGCAGCUGACAGUUCGAGAAGCUAUGAAUCAAGGUAUGGAUGAGGAGCUAGAAAGAGAUGAGAAGGUAUUUCCGCUUGGAGAAGAAGUUGCCCGGUGUGACGGGGCAUACAAGGUUAGUCGAGGCCUGUGGAAAAAAUAUGGAGAUAAGAGGAUCAUAGACACUCCGAUAUCUGAGAUGAGUUUUGCUGGAAUUGCAGUUGGUGCAGCUAUGGCUGGGUUGCGGCCCAUUUGUGAAUUUAUGACCUUCAAUUUCUCUAUGCAAGCCAUUGACCAGGUUAAUAAACUCAGCUGCCAAGACCUACUACAUGUCUGCAGGCCUCCAGCCAGCCUGUGCCCAUAGUAUUCAGGGGACCUAAUGGUGCCUCAGAAGGUGUGGCUGCCCAACACUCACAGUGCUUUGUUGCAUGGUAUGGGCACUGCCCAGGCUUAAAGGUGGUCAGCCCCUGGAAUUCAGAGGAUGCAAAAGGACUUAUUAAGUCAGCCAUUCAGGAUAACAAUCCAGUGGUGAUGCUAGAGAAUGAAUUGAUGUAUGGAGUUUCCUUUGAACUUCCUGCAGAAGCUCAGUCCAAAGAUUUUCUGAUUCCCAUUGGAAAAGCCAAAAUAGAAAGGCAAGGGACACAUAACCGUAGUUGCCCAUUCGAGACCUGUAGGCCACUGCUUAGAAGCUGCGACUGUACUAUCUAAAGAGGGAAUUGAAUGUGAGGUAAUUAAUAUGUGUGCUAUCAGACCAAUGGACAUUGAUGCCACAGAAGCCAGUGUCAUGAAGACAAAUCAUCUUGUAACUGUGGAAGGAGGCUGGCCACAGUUUGGAGUAGGAGCUGAAAUUUGCACCAGGAUCAUGGAAGGACCUGCAUUCAAUUUCCUGGAUGCUUCUGCUGUUCAGUGCCUUACGCUAAGAUUCUAGAAGACCACUCUGUACCUCAAGUCAAAGACAUCAUAUUGGCUAUAAAGAAAACACUGAAUAUCUAGCUUGGACUUGAAUAUCAAGUCAUUGGGAUUUAUUUAAAACACGUGGCUGGAGCUCCAUCUGGAUUGUACUUGUAAGACCUUACUAUUCAGAAAGUAAUCUCUAAA